rnacentral:rRNA from 1 species
GCCUACGGGACGCAGCAGUGGGGAAUAUUGCACAAUGGGGGAAACCCUGAUGCAGCGAUGCCGCGUGGAGGAAGAAGGUUUUCGGAUUGUAAACUCCUUUUAUCAGGGACGAUAAUGACGGUACCUGAAGAAAAAGCCCCGGCUAACUACGUGCCAGCAGCCGCGGUAAUACGUAGGGGGCAAGCGUUAUCCGGAAUUACUGGGUGUAAAGGGAGCGUAGACGGCUGUGCGAGUCUGGAGUGAAAGGCGGGGGCCCAACCCCCGGACUGCUCUGGAAACUGUAUGGCUGGAGUGCAGGAGAGGGA